AAGUUAAAAUUUUUAAAAAAUGCAAUAUAAAGAAAGAAUAUGACUACAGUUGAUAUAGUCACAUAUAGUCAUAUUAGACUAUAGUCUUAUUCAACUAUAGUCAUAUUCGGCGUAGUACACUUGUCGGGGAAAAAAAAUCAAUUUUUCGUUAAAAAAAAAAAAAAGAAAAUAUGACUAUAAUCUUAUUCAAUUAUAGUCAUAUUCGGCGUAGUACACUUGUCGGGGAAAAAAAAUCAAUUUUUCGUUAAAAAAAAAAAAAGAAAAUAUGACUAUAAUCUUAUUCAAUUAUAGUCAUAUUCGGCGUAGUAAACUUGUUGG
rnacentral:lncRNA from 1 species